rnacentral:pre_miRNA from 1 species
AGUAGAAUUGCUGGGCCAUAUGGUAAUUCUGUGUUUAACUUUUUGAGGAACUGCCAAAUUGUUUUCCAAAGUGGCUGUGCCAUUUUACAAUCCCACAAAUAAU